CAGGUACUCCCUCCGUCCGAAGAAACUUGUCCCUCAAAUGGAUGUAUAUAGCUCCAAGUUAGUGCUAGAUACAUCCAUUUGAAAGACAAGCUUGGGACAACUUUUUUCGGACGGAGGGAGUAGUAU
rfam:Triticum aestivum genome assembly, contig: Triticum_aestivum_CS42_TGACv1_scaffold_405712_5BL